GUGAGGUGAUGAACCUGUUUAUCCAUUCUCUGAGCUCUGAUUGGUCGGCGCUCGUUGUCACGGCGUCGCUCCCGUUCUGGGGGCGGGGCCUGUCCGCGCGGCGUUCGCGUCUCUCGGCGUUCUGCCGGUGAGACGUUUGAGCGACGCGCGGGAAAAGCGAACGCUGCUGCCGACGGGGCGGGGACGAGGAGAUGGGGCUGAUCAC